AUAGUCCCUAAAGAAGGAUUAGUGGAUCGUUACUCGCAGAAUUAAGGCACUGGGCUAAACUCUGUGCCAGCAGCCCGCGGGUAAUACAGAGGGUGCAAGCGUUAAUCGGAUUUACUGGGCGUAAAAGCGCGCGUAGGCGGCUAAUUAAGUCAAAAUGUGAAAUCCCCGAGCUUAACUUGGGAAUUGCAUUCGAUACUGGUUAGCUAGAGUGUGGGAGAGGAUGGUAGAAUUCCAGGUGUAGCGGUGAAAUGCGUAGAGAUCUGGAGGAAUACCGAUGGCGAAGGCAGCCAUCUGGCCUAACACUGACGCUGAGGUGCGAAAGCAUGGGGAGCAAACAGGAUUAGAUACCCUGGUAGUCCAUGCCGUAAACGAUGUCUACUAGCCGUUGGGGCCUUUGAGGCUUUAGUGGCGCAGCUAACGCGAUAAGUAGACCGCCUGGGGAGUACGGUCGCAAGACUAAAACUCAAAUGAAUUGACGGGGGCCCGCACAAGCGGUGGAGCAUGUGGUUUAAUUCGAUGCAACGCGAAGAACCUUACCUGGCCUUGACAUAGUAAGAACUUUCCAGAGAUGGAUUGGUGCCUUCGGGAACUUACAUACAGGUGCUGCAUGGCUGUCGUCAGCUCGUGUCGUGAGAUGUUGGGUUAAGUCCCGCAACGAGCGCAACCCUUUUCCUUAUUUGCCAGCGAGUAAUGUCGGGAACUUUAAGGAUACUGCCAGUGACAAACUGGAGGAAGGCGGGGACGACGUCAAGUCAUCAUGGCCCUUACGGCCAGGGCUACACACGUGCUACAAUGGUCGGUACAAAGGGUUGCUACCUAGCGAUAGGAUGCUAAUCUCAAAAAGCCGAUCGUAGUCCGGAUUGGAGUCUGCAACUCGACUCCAUGAAGUCGGAAUCGCUAGUAAUCGCGGAACAGAGAUGUGCCGCAAUUCG
rnacentral:rRNA from 1 species